rnacentral:rRNA from 1 species
AUGCAGUCGAGCGGACAGAUGGGAGCUUGCUCCCUGAUGUUAGCGGCGGACGGGUGAGUAACACGUGGGUAACCUGCCUGUAAGACUGGGAUAACUCCGGGAAACCGGGGCUAAUACCGGAUGCUUGUUUGAACCGCAUGGUUCAAACAUAAAAGGUGGCUUCGGCUACCACUUACAGAUGGACCCGCGGCGCAUUAGCUAGUUGGUGAGGUAACGGCUCACCAAGGCAACGAUGCGUAGCCGACCUGAGAGGGUGAUCGGCCACACUGGGACUGAGACACGGCCCAGACUCCUACGGGAGGCAGCAGUAGGGAAUCUUCCGCAAUGGACGAAAGUCUGACGGAGCAACGCCGCGUGAGUGAUGAAGGUUUUCGGAUCGUAAAGCUCUGUUGUUAGGGAAGAACAAGUACCGUUCGAAUAGGGCGGUACCUUGACGGUACCUAACCAGAAAGCCACGGCUAACUACGUGCCAGCAGCCGCGGUAAUACGUAGGUGGCAAGCGUUGUCCGGAAUUAUUGGGCGUAAAGGGCUCGCAGGCGGUUCCUUAAGUCUGAUGUGAAAGCCCCCGGCUCAACCGGGGAGGGUCAUUGGAAACUGGGGAACUUGAGUGCAGAAGAGGAGAGUGGAAUUCCACGUGUAGCGGUGAAAUGCGUAGAGAUGUGGAGGAACACCAGUGGCGAAGGCGACUCUCUGGUCUGUAACUGACGCUGAGGAGCGAAAGCGUGGGGAGCGAACAGGAUUAGAUACCCUGGUAGUCCACGCCGUAAACGAUGAGUGCUAAGUGUUAGGGGGUUUCCGCCCCUUAGUGCUGCAGCUAACGCAUUAAGCACUCCGCCUGGGGAGUACGGUCGCAAGACUGAAACUCAAAGGAAUUGACGGGGGCCCGCACAAGCGGUGGAGCAUGUGGUUUAAUUCNAAGCAACGCGAAGAACCUUACCAGGUCUUGACAUCCUCUGACAAUCCUAGAGAUAGGACGUCCCCUUCGGGGGCAGAGUGACAGGUGGUGCAUGGUUGUCGUCAGCUCGUGCCGUGAGAAGUUGGGUUAAUC